CAGCCGCCGCGGGAAUACAGAGGGUGCGAGCGUUAAUCGGAUUUACUGGGCGUAAAGCGUGCGUAGGCGGCUUCUUAAGUCGGAUGUGAAAUCCCUGAGCUUAACUUAGGAAUUGCAUUCGAUACUGGGAAGCUAGAGUAUGGGAGAGGAUGGUAGAAUUCCAGGUGUAGAGGUGAAAUGCGUAGAGAUCUGGAGGAAUACCGAUGGCGAAGGCAGCCAUCUGGCCUAAUACUGACGCUGAGGUACGAAAGCAUGGGGAGCAAACAGGAUUAGAUACCCCGGUAGUCCCUGUCUCUUAUAC
rnacentral:rRNA from 1 species